rnacentral:rRNA from 1 species
UACAGAGGGUGCAAGCGUUAAUCGGAAUUACUGGGCGUAAAGCGUGCGUAGACGGUUACAUAAGUCGGGUGUGAAAGCCCCGGGCUCAACCUGGGAAUUGCAUUUGAGACUGCGUAGCUAGGGUGCGGAAGAGGGAAGCGGAAUUUCCGGUGUAGCGGUGAAAUGCGUAGAUAUCGGAAGGAACACCAGUGGCGAAAGCGGCUUCCUGGUCCAGCACCGACGUUCAGGCACGAAAGCGUGGGGAGCAAACAGG